rnacentral:rRNA from 1 species
CCUACGGGUGGCAGCAGUGGGGAAUAUUGGGCAAUGGGCGCAAGCCUGAACCAGCAACGCCGCGUGAAGGACGAAGGCUUUCGGGUUGUAAACUUCUUUUUAGCGGGAAGAGCAGAAGACGGUACCUCUUGAAUCAGCCACGGCUAACUACGUGCCAGCAGCCGCGGGAAUACGUAGGUGGCAAGCGUUGUCCGGAUUUACUGGGUGUAACGGGCGUGCAGCCGGGAAGACAAGUCAGAUGUGAAAUCCCGCGGCUCAACCGCGGAACUGCAUUUGAAACUGGGUGUCUUGAGUACCGGAGAGGUCAGCGGAAUGCGUAGUGUAGCGGUGAAAUGCUUAGAUAUAAGGAAGAACACCAGUUGCGAAGGCGGAUGACUGGACGGCAACUGACGGUGAGGCGCGAAAGCGUGGGGAUCAAACAGGAUUAGAUACCCGUGUAGUC